rnacentral:lncRNA from 1 species
CUGAACUGGCACAGAACUGCUCCCAGCGAAGAGGAGGAUGCUUUCUGUCUGCUGUACCAUAGCUUCCAGCAUGGAGGAGUCUUCUGUGCUGCCACCCCACUGCACCCACAGUGGAGCAGGGAUGUGGGAUGCCGUGCCACCUCUCCCAGUUCAUAGGAGUCAUUUGAAGUGGCUCAGAACUGUUCACAGUGAAAAGGAAAAUGCUUUCAGCCCACCAUACUACAUCUCUUGCCACUGAGGAGGCUUCUGGGCUGGCACGCCACCACUCCCAUAGUGGAGGAGGCUUCCAGUGUGUCAUGCCACCACUCUAAGCUCAUAGGAGGUUUACAAACUGGCAUAGAACCACUUCCAGUGAAGAAGCAGACACUGUUGUUUUGCCAUACCACAGAUCCCAGAACAGAGGAGUCUUCUGGGUUGCUGCCCCACUGUGCCUAUUGUGGAGGAGACAUCCAUGAUGCCAUACUGCUGCUGCCAGCUUGUAAAAGUCUUCCAAACUGGCUCAGAACCACUCACAGAAGAAAGGAUUAUGCUCUUGGUCCACUUUACCACAUCUCCCAGCAUGGAGGAGGCUUCUGAGUUGCCACCCUGUCGCUGCCAUAGUAGAGCAGUCUUCUGGGCCAUCAUAUGGGUGCUUCAAGCUCAUAGGACACUUCUGAACUGGAUCAGAAUUGCUCACAGUGAAAAGGAGGACACUUUUGGUCCACAGUACCACAGCUCUGAGCAAGGAGGAGGCUUCUGGGCUUUGGCUCCACUGCUCCUAUAAUGGAGGAGGCUUCUGGGCAUCUGAAGGUCCACUCCAAGUUCAUAGGAGACUUCCAAACUGGCACAUAAUGGCUCCCAGUGAAGAUGAGAAUCCUUUUGGUCCACUGUACCACAGUUCCCAGCGUGGAGGCUUCAAAGCUGCCACCCUGCCUCUCCCAUAGAGGAUGAGGCUUCCAGGCUACUGAACCACUGAUCCCAACUCAUAAGAGUCUUGUGAACUGGCAUAGAACCACUUCCAACAAAGAUGAAAAUGCUUUUGGUCGGCUGUUCCACAGCUCCCAGGGCAGAAGUGGCUUCAGGGCUGCUGCCCCAAUGCUCCCAUAAUGGAGCAGGCUUCUGGGACACCAUACCACUUCUCCAAGUUUGUAAGAGUCUUCUGAAUUGGAUCACAAAAGCUCACAUUGAAAAGGAGGACACUUUUGGUUCAGCGUACCAUAGCUCCAAGUCCAGAGGAGGCUUCUGGGCUGCCUCCAUGCUGCUCCCAUAAUAGAGGAGGCAUCCCAGACACCCUGCUGCUGAUCCCAGCAGGUAGAUCCCCGAACUCGCUCAGAACCACUCACAGCAGAAAGCAGGAUGCUUUUGGUUCACCUUACCACUUCUCCUGUAAAGGAGGAGGCUUCAGGGCUGCCACCCCACAGCUUCCAUUGUGGAUGAGGCUUCCAGACCAGCAUACCACCUCUCUCAACUCAUAAGAGGCUUCUGAACUGGUACAGAACUGCUCCCAGUGAAGAUGACAAUGCUUUCAGUCCACCAUACCACAGCUCCCAUUGUGGAAGAGGUUUCCAGGCUGCUGUACUGGGGAUUCCAACUCUAGAGCAUCUUCCAAACUGUCUCAGAACCACUCCCAGCAAAAAGAAGGAUGCUUUUGGUCCAGUGCACCACAUCUCCCACUGCAAAGGAGGCUUCUAGGCUGCCACCCCACUGCUCCUGCAGUGGAUGAUACUUCCAGGCUGCCGUACUGCUGCUCCCAACUUGUAGGAGGCUUUGGAACUGGCACAAAACCACUCACAGUGAAGAGGAGGUCAUUUUCUGUCCACUGUGCCACAGCUCCCAGGGUGAAGGAAGAGUCUGGGCUGACACCCCGCUGCUCCCAUCGUAGAGGAGGCAUCAAGACACUAUAACACUGCUCCCAGCUCAUAAGCAUCUUCCCAGCUAGCUAAGAAAUGUUCACAGUGAAAAGGAGGAUGCUUUUGUCCCAAAGUACCCGUUUUCCUGGGAGAUGAGGCUUCCAGACUGCUGCUCCACCUGUUCCAUAGUGGAGGAGGCUUCCAGGCCUCCAUGCCAUUGCUCCUAGAUUGUAGAAGUCUUCCAAACUGGCUCAGAACAGCACACAGAGAAAAGCAGGAUGCUUUCUGCCCACCUUAACACAUCUCUCGCAAUGGAGGAGGCUUCUGGGCUGCUGCCCCACUGCUCCAAUUGUGGAUGAGGCUUCUGGGCUGCCAUACCACCUCUCCCAACUCAUAGGAGGCUUCCAAACUGACACACAACUGAUCACAGCAAAGAUGAGGAUGCUUUCAAUCCACCAUACCACAGCUCCCCAUAUGGAGGAGGCUUCCGGGCUGCCACCCCACUGCUCCCAUAUUGGAGGCAGCAUCCAGCAUACCGUAACCCCACUCCAACCUUGUGGGAGUCUUCUGAACUGGCUCAGAAACAGUGAAAAGCAGAAUAUUCUUGGUCCACCUUACCAUAUCUCCCAUAAUGGAGUAGGAUUCUGGGCUGUUGCCCUGCCACUCACAUAGUGGAUGAGGCUUCCGGGCUGCUGGACUGCUACUCUCAACUCAUAGGAGGCUUCUGAACUGGAACACAACCACUUCCAGCAAAGAGGAGGAUGUUUUCUGUCCACCAUUCCACAGGUCCUAGAGCAGAGGAGGACUCCAGGCUGACACCCUGUCACUCCCAUAGUGGACAAGGCAUCCAGGAUGCCAAACCACUUCUCCCAGCUCACAGGAGGCUUCUGAACUGGCCAAGAACUGCUCUCAGCAAAGAUGGGAAUGCUUUUGGUCCACCAUACCACAGCUCCCAGCGUUGAGGAGGUAUCAGGGAUGCUGACCUGGUGCUCCUAUAGUGGAAGAGGAUUCUGGGCUGUCAUACCGGCAAUCCCAACUCAUGGGAAUCUUCCAAACUGGCUUAGAACCACUCACAUCAAAAGGAAGGAUGCUUUUGGUCCAACAUACCAUAUCUCCCACUGCAAAGGAGGCUUUCAGGCUGCUGCUCUUCCUCUCCCAUAGUGGAUGAGGCUUCCAGGCUGCUAUAAUGCCACUCCCAACUCAUAGGAGACUUCUGAACAGGCACAGAACCACUUCCAGCAAAGAGGAUGUUUCCAGUCCACUGUACCACAGCUCAGAGUGCAAAGGGGGAUUCCAGGAUGACACCCUACCACUCCUAUAGAGGAAGAGGCAUCCAGGAUGCUGCACCGCCACUCCCAGCUCAUAAGAGUCUCCUGAACUGGAUCAGAACUGCUCACAGUGCAAAAGAGGAUGCUUUUGGUUCACCGUACCACAUCUGUGCAGAGGAGGCUCCUGGACUGCCACCCAGCCACUCCCAUAGUGCAGGAGACUUCCAGGCCACCAUACCUCCACUCCAAGCUCAUAGGAGGCUUCCAAACUGGCAUAGAACUGCUCCUAGUAAAGAUAGGUAUGCUUUUGGUACACCAAACCACAGCUCCCAGUGCUAAGAAGGCUUCUGAGCUGCUGCCCCACUGAUUCCAUAGUGGAGAAGGCUUCUGGGCCACCAUAUUUCCACUUCCAGCAAAUAGGAGUCUUCUGAACUACAACAGAACCACUCACAGAGAAGAGGAGGACACAAUUGGUCCACAGUACCACAGCUCCCACUGCAGAGGAGGCUUCUGGCCUGUGGCCCCACCAUUCCUAUAGUGGAGGAGGCCUCCAGGCUGCAAUACCACCACUCCCAGCUCAUUGGAGGCUUCUGAACUAGCAUAGAACCACUCCCAGUGAAUAGGAGGAUGCUUUUCAUCCACAGUACAGCAUCUCCUACUGCAGAGGAGGUGUCCAUGCUGCAGUACCACUGCUCCCAGCUCAAAGGUUUCCUAACUGGCAUGGAACUGCUCCCAGAGAAUUGGAGGAUGCUUUCAGUCCCUCAUACCACAGCUCCCAGCAUGGAGGAGGUUUCUGGUCUGCUGUCCCAAUCCUCCCAUAGUGGAUGAGUGUUCUGGGCCACAGUACCACUGCUCUCAACUCAUAGGAGCCUUACAACCUGGAUCAGAACCACUCACAGGGAAGAGCAGAAUGCUUUUGGUCUACAGUACCACAUCACUCACCACAUAAGUGGCUUCCAGGCUGCCACCCCGCUGCUGCUAUAGUGGAGGAGGCUUCUGGCUGAAGUAGUGCUGCUCCCAACACAUAGGUGUCUUCUUUACUGGCACAGAACAACUUUCAGUGAAGAGGAGGAUGCUUUCAGUCCACCGUACAAAAUCUUCCACCAUAGAGGAAGCUUCUGGGCAGAUGCCCCGCCACUUCCAGAGUGGAGGAGGCAUAGGGAAUGCCAUACUGCCACUCCCAGCUCAUAGGGGUCUCCAGAACUGACUCAGAAAGACUCACAGCAAAAUGGAGUAUGCUCUUAUUACACCUUACCACAUCCCCCAGUGCAAAGGAGGCUUCUGAGCUGCUGCCUCACCUCUCCCAUAGUGGAGGAGACAUCUGGGCCACCAUACCGCUGCUCUGAGCUCAUAGGAGCCUUCCAAACUGGGUCAGAAUAGCUCACAGUGAGAUAAGGAUGCUUUCAGUCCACCAUACCACAUUUCCCACACAAAAAAAGAAGCUUGCAGCCUGAUGCCCCACCUCUCCCAUAGUGGAGGAGGCUUCUAGGACUCUGUACCAGGACUCCAAGCUCAUAGGAGGCUUCCAAAUUAUCAUAGAAGCACUCCCAGUGAAGAUGAAAACACUUUUGGUCCACCGUACCACAGCUCCCAGCAUGGAGGAGGCUUCUGGACUGCUGUCUCACCACUUCCAUACUGGAGGUGGCUUCUGGGCUGAGUUACCAGCACUCUCAGCUCAUCAGAUGCUUCUAAACUGGCAUAGAACUGCUCGCAAUGAAGAGGAGGAUGCUUUUGAUCCACUGUACCACAGCUCCCAGCAAGGAAGAGGCUUCCAGGCUGCCACUCACCACUCCCAUAUUGGAGGUGGCAUCUGGGAUGCCGUACCACUGGUCCAAGCUCAUAGGAGUCUUCCAAACUGGCUCAGAACCACACACAGCAAAAAGCAGGACACUCUCAGUCCACCUUACCACAUCUCCUGUAACAGAGGAGGCUUCUGGGCUGCCGCCCCACUGCUUCCAUAGUGGAGAAGGCUUCUGGGCUGCUGUACUGCAGUUCCCAACUCAUGGGAGCCUUCUGAACUGCACAGAAUGACUUACAGUGAAGAGGAGGACACUUUCAGUCCACCAUACCAGAGCUCCCAGCACUGAGGAGGCUUCCGGGCCCCAUGGUUUCCAUAGUAGAGGAGGCAUCUAGGCCAUUGUACUGCCACUCCCAGCUCAUAGGAGUCUUCCUAACUGGCUUAGAACACUCACAGCAAAGAGGAGUAUGCUCUUGGUCCACCUUACUACAUCACCCAGCCUGGUGGAGGCUCCUGAACUGCCACACCACCACUCCCAUAGCGGAGGAGGCACCUGAGAUGCCAUACCGUCACUCCCAGCUCAUAAAAGUCUUCCAAACUGGCUCAGAACCACUCAUAGUGAAAAGGAUUGUACUCUUGGUCCACCCUACCACAUCACCCAGUGUGGAGGAGGCUUCCGGGCUGCCGUAAAGCAGUUCCCAGCUUGUAGGAGUCUUCCAAUCUGGCUCAGAACCCCUUACAGUGAAAAGAAGGAUGAUUUCAGUCCACUGUACCACAUCAAAGGAGGCUUCCGGGCUGCCACCCCGCUUCUCUCAUAGUGGAUGAGGAUUCCAGGCCACUGUGCCACCACUCCCAACUCAUAGGAGGCUUCUGAACAGGCACAGAACCACUUCCAGUGAAGAGGAAGUUAUUUUCUGUCCAGUGUACCACAGCUCCCAGCAUGAAAGAAGAUUCCAGGCUGCUACCCCACCUUUCCCAUAGUGGAUGAGGCUUCCAGGCCACUGUACCACCACUCCCAGUUCAUAGGAGGCUUCUGAACUGCCCAAGAACUGCUCCCAGCAAAGAUGAGAAUGCAUUCGGUCCACCGUACCACAGCUCCCAAUGUGGAGGAGGUAUCCAGGAUGCUGACCUGGUGUUCCUAUAGUGGAAGAGGAUUCCAGGCCACCGUACCAGCGAUCCCAACUCAUGAGAAUCUUCCGAACUGUCUUAGCACCACUUACAGUGAAAGGAAGGAUGCUUUCAGUUCAAUGUACCACAUCUCCCACUGCAAAGGAGACUUCCUGGCUGCCACCCUUCCUCUCCCAUAGUGAAUGAUGCUUCCUGGCCUCCAUAAUGCCUCUCCCAACACAAAGGAGGCUUUUGAACUGGCACAGAACCAUUUCCAGUGAAGAGGAGGAUGUUUUCUGUCCACCUUACUGCAGCGUGCAGUGAGGAGGAGGAUUCUGGGCUGACACUCUGAUGCUCCCAGAGUGGAAGGGGCUUCUGGGCUGCAGAACUGCCACUCCAAGCUCAUAGGAGGCUUCUUAACUGGUAUAGAACCACUCCCAGUGAAGGCAAAAACACUUUUGGUCUACUGUAACACAGCUCCCAGUGUGGGAGGAGGCUUCCGGGCUGCCACCUCACUGUUCCCAUAGUUGAGGAGGCUUCUGGGACACUGUACAACUGCUCCCAGCUCAUAGGAGUCUUCUGAACUGGCUCAGAGCUGCUCCCAGUGAAAAAGUGGACACUUUUGGUCCUCUGGAAAAUAACUCCAAGCAUGGAGGGGGCUUCAUGGCUGCCUCCCCACCACUCCCAUAGUGGAGGAUGCCUCCAGGCCUCCAUCCUGCCAUUCCAAGCUCAUACAAGGCUUCCAAACUGGCCUAGAACCACCCCCAGUGAAGAUGAGAAUGCUUUCAUUCCACCAUACCACAGCUCCCAGCAUGGAGGAGGAUUCCAGGCUGCCAACCUGCCUCUGCCAUAGUGGAGGAGUCAUGUGGCCCUCUGUACUGCCCCUCUCAGCUCAAAGAAAUCUUCCAAACUGGCUCACAACCACUCACAGUGAAGGGGAGGAUGCUUUUGGUCCUCUGUACCACAACUCCCAGUGUGGAGGAGGCUUCUGGGCUGCCACACUGCUGCUCCCACAGUGGAGGAGGCUUUCUGGCCUCCAUCCUGGCCCCUCCAUGCUCAUAAUAGGCUUCCUAACUGGCAUAGAACCACUCCCAGUGAAGAGUAGAACACUGUGUCUGCCAUACCACAGUUCCCAGAGUGGAAGAGACUUCUGGGCUGCCGCCCUGCUGCUCACAUAGUGGAGUAGGCAUCCGGGAUACUGUACUGCCACUCCCAGCUUGUAGGAGGCUUCCAAAUUAGCACAGAAUGGCUCACAGCAAAGAGCAGGAUGCUUUCAGUCUACAGUACCACAGCUCCCACCAUGGAGUAGGCUUCCAGUCUGCCAUCUAGGGCUCACAGUACAUACAAGGCUUCCUAACAGGCAUAGAACUGCUCCCAGAGAAGAGGAGGAUGCAUUCAGUCC